rnacentral:rRNA from 1 species
ACGAACGCUGGCGGCGUGCUUAACACAUGCAAGUCGAACGGAAAGGCCCUGCUUUUGUGGGGUGCUCGAGUGGCGAACGGGUGAGUAACACGUGAGUAACCUGCCCUUGACUUUGGGAUAACUUCAGGAAACUGGGGCUAAUACCGGAUAGGAGCUCCUGCUGCAUGGUGGGGGUUGGAAAGUUUCGGCGGUUGGGGAUGGACUCGCGGCUUAUCAGCUUGUUGGUGGGGUAGUGGCUUACCAAGGCUUUGACGGGUAGCCGGCCUGAGAGGGUGACCGGCGACAUUGGGACUGAGAGACGGCCCAGACUCCUACGGGAGGCAGCAGUGGGGAAUAUUGCACAAUGGGCGGAAGGCUGAUGCAGAAACGCCGCGUGCGGGAUGACGGCCUUCGGGUUGUAAACCGCUUUCGCCUGUGACGAAGCGUGAGUGACGGUAAUGGGUAAAGAAGCACCGGCUAACUACGUG